rnacentral:rRNA from 1 species
AGAGUUUGAUCCUGGCUCAGGAUGAACGCUGGCGGCGUGCUUAACACAUGCAAGUCGAACGAAGCACCUUGAUUUGAUUCUUCGGAUGAAGAUCUUGGUGACUGAGUGGCGGACGGGUGAGUAACGCGUGGGUAACCUGCCUCAUACAGGGGGAUAACAGUUAGAAAUGACUGCUAAUACCGCAUAAGACCACAGCACCGCAUGGUGCAGGGGUAAAAACUCCGGUGGUAUGAGAUGGACCCGCGUCUGAUUAGGUAGUUGGUGGGGUAACGGCCUACCAAGCCGACGAUCAGUAGCCGACCUGAGAGGGUGACCGGCCACAUUGGGACUGAGACACGGCCCAAACUCCUACGGGAGGCAGCAGUGGGGAAUAUUGCACAAUGGGGGAAACCCUGAUGCAGCGACGCCGCGUGAGCGAUGAAGUAUUUCGGUAUGUAAAGCUCUAUCAGCAGGGAAGAAAAUGACGGUACCUGACUAAGAAGCACCGGCUAAAUACGUGCCAGCAGCCGCGGUAAUACGUAUGGUGCAAGCGUUAUCCGGAUUUACUGGGUGUAAAGGGAGCGUAGACGGAGUGGCAAGUCUGAUGUGAAAACCCGGGGCUCAACCCCGGGACUGCAUUGGAAACUGUCAGUCUAGAGUACCGGAGAGGUAAGCGGAAUUCCUAGUGUAGCGGUGAAAUGCGUAGAUAUUAGGAGGAACACCAGUGGCGAAGGCGGCUUACUGGACGGUAACUGACGUUGAGGCUCGAAAGCGUGGGGAGCAAACAGGAUUAGAUACCCUGGUAGUCCACGCCGUAAACGAUGAUUACUAGGUGUGGGGGGUCUGACCCCUUCCGUGCCGGAGUUAACACAAUAAGUAAUCCACCUGGGGAGUACGACCGCAAGGUUGAAACUCAAAGGAAUUGACGGGGGCCCGCACAAGCAGUGGAGUAUGUGGUUUAAUUCGAAGCAACGCGAAGAACCUUACCAGGUCUUGACAUCGAGUGACGAAUCUAGAGAUAGAUUUUUCCUUCGGGACACAAAGACAGGUGGUGCAUGGUUGUCGUCAGCUCGUGUCGUGAGAUGUUGGGUUAAGUCCCGCAACGAGCGCAACCCUUAUCUUUAGUAGCCAGCGGUCCGGCCGGGCACUCUAGGGAGACUGCCAGGGAUAACCUGGAGGAAGGCGGGGAUGACGUCAAAUCAUCAUGCCCCUUAUGACUUGGGCUACACACGUGCUACAAUGGCGUAAACAAAGGGAAGCAAAGCUGUGAAGCCGAGCAAAUCUCAAAAAUAACGUCUCAGUUCGGACUGUAGUCUGCAACCCGACUACACGAAGCUGGAAUCGCUAGUAAUCGCAGAUCAGAAUGCUGCGGUGAAUACGUUCCCGGGUCUUGCACACACCGCCCGUCA